CAAUGGGUUGGAAAGAGCUCAUAAGAAGACAAAAGUUCCUUCAUACUUUGUUGAACAUUGUUACUAUAAUUUUUCUGGCCUUUCUCUCCUUACACAUUUGAAUUAGAAGGAAAGCUCACUGAAGCCACGAUAGUUAAGCUCUCUUUUUCUUGCAAUAACCUAAUCAUCUCUGGUACCCAUGCUGUCUUACCUUUGGACUCCUUUGUUGUCUAACAGACAAUAAGUCCCACUCAUGUGAGGCAGAUUGGGUUGAGUUGUCUAUUAACCAAGCCAUCAAGAUUAUCCUGCUACAUAGUGUGAUAGUCCCAUUCCUGCUGAGCUAUAAGCCAAUGUAUUGUUCUGAAACUUCACUGUAGUGUACCAACGGCCACCCAGGAGAAAUAUGGCAUGGAGAUGGAGAGGCUGGGGAUGGUUGCUCUAUGGUAGAGCACUUGUCUGCCACACAAAAGACCCUUGGUUAGAUCCCCAGAACCACCACAAGAAAAACAAAUCAUCACAGAAAAAAAAAAUCUGGAUCUUAUGGUAAUCACCAUCACAGAAAAUGUACCUGGGCAUUAAUGUUAAGUGACUCUGAAACUCCCUUAAAUUCAGUUGUCUUCAAGGAACAGGUUGGUGAGAAUAAAGAUGAAAUCCACCCAUAAAGAAAGAAGCUGAAAUCAGAUAUAAAAAUAUUCUAAAAAGAGUUUAUCCUUUCUGCUUUGAUAGUGCUCCAGAAAAGAAAUCUACAAAGCAGACCUCCAGCUCUCUUUAGGGUGGACUGCAAACAAACCUAUGAAAUGGCUUAGAGUCAAGGAGCACUAUUUAUCUGCCCCUAGCCAUUACUAAAUUACUGUGCAUCACAGUAAUUUGGAAGAGGUUACAAAAUAAUCUAUGGAAGCCAAGAUCUGCCAAUCAGAGGUUCUGCUUUGGCUAGUCAUCUGGAUCUGGAAGAGCAAGUGAGAAGAGUUCAAAAAAGAUUCACUGA